GAUGAACGCUGGCGGCGUGCCUAAUACAUGCAAGUCGAGCGAACAGACGAGGAGCUUGCUCCUCUGACGUUAGCGGCGGACGGGUGAGUAACACGUGGAUAACCUACCUAUAAGACUGGGAUAACUUCGGGAAACCGGAGCUAAUACCGGAUAAUAUAUUGAACCGCAUGGUUCAAUAGUGAAAGACGGUUUUGCUGUCACUUAUAGAUGGAUCCGCGCCGCAUUAGCUAGUUGGUAAGGUAACGGCUUACCAAGGCGACGAUGCGUAGCCGACCUGAGAGGGUGAUCGGCCACACUGGAACUGAGACACGGUCCAGACUCCUACGGGAGGCAGCAGUAGGGAAUCUUCCGCAAUGGGCGAAAGCCUGACGGAGCAACGCCGCGUGAGUGAUGAAGGUCUUCGGAUCGUAAAACUCUGUUAUUAGGGAAGAACAAAUGUCUAAGUAACUAUGCACGUCUUGACGGUACCUAAUCAGAAAGCCACGGCUAACUACGUG
rnacentral:rRNA from 1 species